UUUCUUUUCUUCUCUCUAAGUUUCAUGCCUCUCUCUUACCUCUUCACCAUCUCUCUCUUCAUCACCCCCAUUCUUUCUCCCAACUAUAGCCAACCACCACAUCCACUCACCGGCGACGUAGUUGGGCGGCGGCUAUGGCUUUCAAUAUGCCCUCUCCGAUUUCCUCAGUGAUGAGGGUUUGUGGGUGGCCGUUGGUUUUUUUUUUUUUUCCUCUCCGAUCUAUGGAUUUCAGGGGCCGUGGGUGGGUUUGUGUCGAUCUCGUGGUGAUUGCUUGGAUUUGAUGGGGAGUACGAUUAUUAAUCGGCGAUUUUGCAGUUGGAAAUCUAAAUUUCUAUCCCGAUCUACUAGGAAUGAGAUCUGCCUACUCCAGAUGGAGGAAGUGCUGCAUCUGAGGAUGGGAAUACAUUGGAAGUGCUGCAUCUGAGGAUGGGACUACCAAUGUAUGAGACGCUGCUGUUGGCUCUUUACUCUUGUGAGAACUACUAAUUGUUAUUCGGAUACCUACAUAGGUAAUGAGUACUUUUCUGUUGUUUUCCAAAAUAAAGUCUGGUGAAAAUGUUUUGUUGUUAGCUAAAGGAACAAACUAUAAUUAUAAUGCAAUUGAGAUUUAUGAAGCUUCAGUUUCUGCUGUUCCA